rnacentral:rRNA from 1 species
GACGAACGCUGGCGGCGUGCCUAAUACAUGCAAGUUGAGCGCUGAAGGUUGGUACUUGUACCAACUGGAUGAGCAGCGAACGGGUGAGUAACGCGUGGGGAAUCUGCCUUUGAGCGGGGGACAACAUUUGGAAACGAAUGCUAAUACCGCAUAAAAACUUUAAACACAAGUUUUAAGUUUGAAAGAUGCAAUUGCAUCACUCAAAGAUGAUCCCGCGUUGUAUUAGCUAGUUGGUGAGGUAAAGGCUCACCAAGGCGAUGAUACAUAGCCGACCUGAGAGGGUGAUCGGCCCCCUUGGGACUGAGACACGGCCCAAACUCCUACGGGAGGCAGCAGUAGGGAAUCUUCGGCAAUGGACGAAAGUCUGACCGAGCAACGCCGCGUGAGUGAAGAAGGUUUUCGGAUCGUAAAACUCUGUUGGUAGAGAAGAACGUUGGUGAGAGUGGAAAGCUCAUCAAGUGACGGUAACUACCCAGAAAGGGACGGCUAACUACGUG